rnacentral:piRNA from 1 species
CUGUGAAGGGAAAACGGCCUACUCAA